UAACUGGGCGUUAAGUUGCAGGGUAUAGACCCGAAACCCGGUGAUCUAGCCAUGGGCAGGUUGAAGGUUGGGUAACACUAACUGGAGGACCGAACCGACUAAUGUUGAAAAAUUAGCGGAUGACUUGUGGCUGGGGGUGAAAGGCCAAUCAAACCGGGAGAUAGCUGGUUCUCCCCGAAAGCUAUUUAGGUAGCGCCUCGUGAAUUCAUCUCCGGGGGUAGAGCACUGUUUCGGCAAGGGGGUCAUCCCGACUUACCAACCCGAUGCAAACUGCGAAUACCGGAGAAUGUUAUCACGGGAGACACACGGCGGGUGCUAACGUCCGUCGUGAAGAGGGAAACAACCCAGACCGCCAGCUAAGGUCCCAAAGUCAUGGUUAAGUGGGAAACGAUGUGGGAAGGCCCAGACAGCCAGGAUGUUGGCUUAGAAGCAGCCAUCAUUUAAAGAAAGCGUAAUAGCUCACUGGUCGAGUCGGCCUGCGC
rnacentral:rRNA from 1 species